GAGUUUGAUCUUGGCUCAGAAUGAACGCUGGCGGCGUGCCUAACACAUGCAAGUCGGAUGUGCCGCAAGGUGCAUGGCAGACGGGUGAGUAACGCGUAGGGAAUCUACCUCUUUGUGGGGAAUAACGCUCCGAAAGGAGUGGUAAUACCGCAUGAGACCGCGAGCUGGGAUGCUUGUGGUGAAACCUGGGGACCGAAAGGCCUGGGGCAAGGAGAGGAUCCUGCGUCUGAUUAGCUAGUUGGCGGGGUAAUGGCCCACCAAGGCGACGAUCAGUAGCCGGCCUGAGAGGGUGAUCGGCCACACUGGAACUGAGACACGGUCCAGACUCCUACGGGAGGCAGCAGUGGGGAAUUUUGCGCAAUGGACGAAAGUCUGACGCAGCAACGCCGCGUGGGUGAUGAAGGUCUUCGGACUGUAAAACCCUGUCGUCAGGGACGAAGGUUGGGGGGUUAAUAACCCGUUCAGCUUGACGGUACCUGGAGAGGAAGCCCCGGCUAAC
rnacentral:rRNA from 1 species